rfam:Dipodomys ordii contig_30044, whole genome shotgun sequence.
UGGAAUGUGGCUUAGUGCUAAAGUGCUUGCCUAGCAUGCAUGAAGCCCUGGGUUCGAUUCCCUGGUACCAC